GUCGGAGUAGCUCAGAGGUAGGGCUCCCGCCUGAAGAGCGGGGAAUCGCAGGUUCGACUCCUGCCUUCGACACCA
rnacentral:tRNA from 1 species